AAGGUGGCCCCGGAUGCUUGAAAACAUAAGCUUAACCGGCUUAUAAUCCAAUACUUCUGGUGGUUGAGCCACGAAUCCCAUAAGAUUUUGGGUCCAGCCAAUCAAACAAGUCACAAGUAGAAAAUUAUUUUGAUAAUUUAUUUAUAAGUGAACAUUAUUUAUGUUAAAAAUUAGUAAGGUUGUUGGUGUUGCUUCAGUU
rnacentral:lncRNA from 1 species